ACGAACGCUGGCGGCGUGCCUAAUACAUGCAAGUCGAGCGGAAUGAUGAAGAAGCUUGCUUCUUCUGAUUUUAGCGGCGGACGGGUGAGUAACACGUGGGCAACCUACCUUGUAGAUUGGGAUAACUCCGGGAAACCGGGGCUAAUGCCGAAUAAUCCAUUUUGCUUCAUGGCGAGAUGUUGAAAGACGGUUUCGGCUGUCACUAUAAGAUGGGCCCGCGGCGCAUUAGCUAGUUGGUAGGGUAAUGGCCUACCAAGGCGACGAUGCGUAGCCGACCUGAGAGGGUGAUCGGCCACACUGGGACUGAGACACGGCCCAGACUCCUACGGGAGGCAGCAGUAGGGAAUCUUCCACAAUGGACGAAAGUCUGAUGGAGCAACGCCGCGUGAGUGAAGAAGGUUUUCGGAUCGUAAAACUCUGUUGUAAGGGAAGAACACGUACGAGAGUAACUGCUCGUACCUUGACGGUACCUUAUUAGAAAGCCACGGCUAACUACGUG
rnacentral:rRNA from 1 species